rnacentral:rRNA from 1 species
GACGAACGCUGGCGGCGUGCUUAACACAUGCAAGUCGAACGGAAAGGCCCUGCUUGCGGGGUACUCGAGUGGCGAACGGGUGAGUAACACGUGGGUGAUCUGCCCUGCACUUCGGGAUAAGCCUGGGAAACUGGGUCUAAUACCGGAUAGGAGCCAUUUUGAGUGUGAUGGUUGGAAAGUUUUUUCGGUGUAGGAUGAGCUCGCGGCCUAUCAGCUUGUUGGUGGGGUAAUGGCCUACCAAGGCGGCGACGGGUAGCCGGCCUGAGAGGGUGGACGGCCACAUUGGGACUGAGAUACGGCCCAGACUCCUACGGGAGGCAGCAGUGGGGAAUAUUGCACAAUGGGCGCAAGCCUGAUGCAGCGACGCCGCGUGGGGGAUGACGGCCUUCGGGUUGUAAACUCAUUUCGCUAGGGACGAAGCUUUUUGUGACGGUACCUAGAGAAGAAGCCCCGGCUAACUACGUG